rnacentral:rRNA from 1 species
UAGCAGUGAGGGAAUAUUUGGUCAAUAGCCUAACGGCUGAACCAGCAACUAGGAGGAAUGUAAAAUUACUGUAAAAGGUAGUUUUCUGUAUUAUAUGUUAAAUAUAGAGUUAACGUAGUUAAGUAAAGUUCCGAGUAUAAAUUGAUUAUGACAGUUUAUAUGAGUAUGUCUUGACCAAUUCAUGUGCCAGCAGUCGCGGUAACACAUGUAAGACUGGUGUUAUUCAUCUUUAAUAGGUUUAAAGGGUACCUAGACAGUUAAUUAAGCCUAAAAAAGGGUACUUAAUAAACUAGAGUUUAAUGUAAGAAGAAGAGUACGGUGAGUGUAGAGAUAAAAUUCAGUGAUACCACUUAGAAACUGGCAAAUGCGAAGGCAAUCUUCUAUGUAAAAACUGACGUUGAGGGACGAAGGCUCGUUAAAAGUAACAGGAUUAGAUACCCUAGUAUUGUGAGCAGACAAUGAUGAAUGUCAUAUGCAAGAAUUUUUUUGUGUAUAAAUGAAAGUGUAAGCAUUCCACCUCAAGAGUAAUAUGGCAACAUAUAAACUGAAAUCAUUAGACCGUUUCUGAAACUCGUAGUGAAGUAUGUUGUUUAAUUUGAUGAUCCACAAAGAACCUUACCACAAUUUGAAUAUCCAUGUAUUACAUGCAUGGUUACAAGCGUUGCACGGCUGUCUUCAGUUAAUGUCGUGAGACUUUGGUUAGAUCCAUUAAAUUAAACGUAUAACCCUUACUUUAUUUAGUAUAAAAUAGUUCGCCGCUAUAUUGGUAGUGAUAUAAGGGACCAAGACAAGUCAUCAUGGCCUAAAUAUUGUGGGCUAUAGACGUGCCACAUACC